rnacentral:rRNA from 1 species
AUUGAACGCUGGCGGCGUGCUUAACACAUGCAAGUCGAACGAAGUGGCGAACGGGUGAGUAACGCGUCAUCAACCUGCCCUUCAGAGGGGGACAACAGUUGGAAACGACUGCUACUACCGCAUACUGAAGGAGGGGAUUGCGUCUGAUUAGCUAGUUGGAGGGGUAACGGCCCACCAAGGCGAUGAUCAGUAGCCGGUCUGAGAGGAUGAACGGCAACAUUGGGAAUGAGACACGGCCCAGACUCCUACGGGAGGCAGCAGUGGGGAAUCUUCCGCAAUGGACGAAAGGCUGACGGAGCAAAGCCGCGGGAGGGAUGACGGCCUUCGGGUUGGAAAGCUCUGUUAAUCGGGACGCGGUACCGGAAUAGAAAGCCACGGCUAACUACGUGCCAGCAGCCGCGGUAAUUC